GGAGAAGCAGGAACAAAGGGAGAACAUGGAGGUCCAGGGAUGUCUGGAUCCCCUGGUAUGCCAGGAGCACGUGGGUUGCCGGGUGAUAUGGGAGGUUCUGGUGCUGACGGACCCAAAGGAGAACCAGGCCUGAGAGGGGUACCAGGAAACACUGGGGACGCCGGACGUAGAGGAGAUACA